GGCGAGAUGGCCGAGUUGGUUAUGGCGUCAGGUUAAGGUUCCAAUCUUAGCAAUCACAUCCUGGUGGAGCAAUCCUCGUGGGUUCGAAUCCCACUCUCGUCA
rfam:Pseudomassariella vexata strain CBS 129021 BCR38scaffold_2, whole genome shotgun sequence.